GGAAGGUACCACGGGAAGGAUAUCCGGCAAGUGUAGCUACAAGCCAGUCAGCCUUGUGGAUUCCUCAAGGCAGGCAAUAUCCCCAAGUCUGACUUUGGCAGGGGGGAUUUUGUAAGAGGCUUGUAGCUGAGCUAAGGGCGAAAACUAAAUUGACCGCCAACGGCGUUGUAUGGGCAGCCAUAGUCUCGCUGCUACAGGGGGUUUUGGAGUCAGGGGCUCUAAAACGGUGAUCUGAAAGGUUGGCUCCCUCUGGGGGUGAGUUAGCGCUGAUGGCAGUUGAAGAGAAAGAGGAGAAAGCGAUGACAUUCGAACGUCAUCCAGCGGAUCCGACCGGUCUCAUAGUAGAUGGGAGCGUGUCCAUCUUCCUUUUGGAAUUUGGAUGUCGAGCGACCAACAUCGCCCCGAACAGGCUCAGCAAAAAUCAUUAAGGAAAAAGUUCCAAAGUCAAGAAAAGAAUAUUGUCAAAGCGCGAGUGGUAUCCAGCAGCAGCAAAGCAAAAGUCGCGGGACUGGGAAAACUGAAGCUAGGUCGGCCACUGGGGCCAAGAUUGACGGAUUUGGCGCCUAGCAAUUUGGGCUGGCGAAGCAGCGGCGCUCCAAGCAGCUGAUCCGUCGCAGCACAGAGCGAGGGAGCAGAGACGCAGAAAAAUUCAGAGAGGCUCGACCUUCGCGGGCAGCCGGAUCGACGUCGGUGAGGCGGCGGCCACAAAGCGGGACGGUCGAUAAUCCGCGAUAGCGGAAAGUGCAGCAACCGGCGUAAUACGAACGGAGAAAAAGGAGGAAAAUCGCGCAAAUCCUACCUAAACGUGCCGUAUGGCAAAUUAAGUUAACAAGGCCCAAUUAAGAUCCGCAGUACAUAGUGAAGGAAAGAGUUAGUGUGUUGUUGGAGUUCAAUACUCAGAGCUGCAAGGGUAAUGCCCAAAAAAAUAAAGAGGGCGAGCGGAGCCAAAGGUGAUGCGCGCAUAGGCAGAGAGUGAAAGCGGGGGAGAGAGAGAACACGCAAGCAGCAAAAGCAGAGCCCAAUAGGAGAGCGAGCGAGCUAUAAAAACGCUCGCCAGCAACGGAGCCGAAGGGGGCUGGCGAUAAGCCGAGAGAAGUAACAUAAGUUAACAUAAGAGUAAGCAGAAUAGUACCGAGCAGCAGAACAGC